rnacentral:rRNA from 1 species
UACAGAGGGGGCAAGCGUUGUUCGGAAUUACUGGGCGUAAAGGGCGCGUAGGCGGCCUACUAAGUCGAACGUGAAAUCCCCGGGCUUAACCCGGGAACUGCGUCCGAUACUGGUUGGGCUUGAAUCCGGGAGAGGGAUGUGGAAUUCCAGGUGUAGCGGUGAAAUGCGUAGAUAUCUGGAGGAACACCGGUGGCGAAGGCAACAUCCUGGACCGGUAUUGACGCUGAGGCGCGAAAGCCAGGGGAGCAAACGGG